AUUAGACACAAAUGUCUUCUGUAGUUGUACUGCGUCGCUGGUAGAAAAUAAUUUCUCAUGGUUCGGAGCUCUGGCAUACCCCUCCGACGCCGACGGUAAGAAAGAUCUGCGAGCAGUUCAUCUGAGUUACUUAAAUGGAGAACUUCUAGAGAAACAGAAAGGAAUCCACUGCAAAAUCUAACCUCAGUUGAUGAUGAUAGAUAAAAGACUCUGGUAACAGUUUUGGCAAGAAGAUGCUUUAGCUUUUACCAUAUGAUGCAGGGGAGAUGAAUGGGCUUUGGUGCUUCUUGACCUCAUGGUGAGAACGGCACAGCGUAUUAGAGGAAGGAAUUUAGGGACAUUUGGUCAUAGAGGUGCAAGGUCACUACGAACUUUUUGAUAUGAGGACCUUCUAAUUGAAAAUUGAUCGGUAAGUUUAUCUAAUUUCUUGUGCUUAAUGUGUUGCUGAGUCAGAUUAGACGGUGGGAUUAACGUAAACUAUAGAAAAAAUUUACAUUUGAGGUGAUAGCAUGCAUUCAAAUUUGCGUCUUAGGUAUAAAUUACACAAGUAUGAGCUCUGUCUAACCCACUUCCUGAAGAAAAAGCAGUAAUCCUGUAAAAUUCCUGAAGACUUACCUCUGUGUCUCCCCGCAAGAACUUUUUUGAAGAGAGAAGCAAUUUGAUGACUACCGCCCAAUGUCCAAUAUCCAGCCUUUCAUAAUGGAUUACACCCCAUUAUGUGGUUUAAUUUUGCUAAACAAUCCUCUCUCUCCUCUCUCAAGGAAUAAAAUAAGCCCCAACAGUUCACAUUUUAGGGGAAGAAAGCUAGUAGAAUAUGGCCCAAAUAAGGUAAAAGAAUAAGAUAAGAGUGCAUUAGUGGGUGGUGCAUUAACAUUUUUGGUUGCCAAAAGGCGCAUUUCAAUGGAAAGAUGACCUAGAAAGGGCCUUCGUACCACAGCUAAGAACCCAUAAAUAUGCCCAUCUUUUUGUUGGUUAUUCUCAAGAAUUAAUGAUGUGGGGGAAGUUCUUAACUAUUGGUCUCUGACCCUUGUUGUAAGAUAGUGUCUUUUACAAAGAAAGAUUCACCCAAGAUUAAGGCCAACUGUUUACAACUAAGUUCUCUUUGUGGGUCUGUUCCUGAAGGGCAUGGGGACUUAUCCAUUCCCAAGGUUCAGGGCAUUUUUCAAACUCUGAUUUGUCCUUAAUCCUGUCAACACCCUAAACAUAAUGUAUAAUUGCUCCAUCUUAUGUGAAGGGCAGCCUCUCUAAUACAAUAAAAUUCUGUUUUACAUAAAAAUACGGCCAAAAUAGAAGGGUUUUUUUUUUUUAUACAAUAACAAAAAUAAACACUAUCAAGCUAUAUCUAAAUACUUCUAAGAUGAGUGUCUCAGAGUCUUUGGAGUGUUGUAGGAUGCUCUCUGAAAAUUAACCUUGUGCACAAUGCUAAAUUUUAUAAAAUUUUAAUUUUUGCUAUUCACGAGAACAUAUAACAUUCAUUUUUUUGAAUAUGUAACAGGUAAACUCGUGCACCAAUUUAAGAAUAUUGUUUUGAUCCUCAGGACAUUAUCCAACUUGUCAACCAAAUCCUAGGACAGCCUGGUGCCACAAACUGUACUUGAACCGAAAGGUCACCCACCAUUCCAUUUGGUUAUUUCUCAUCUGCAGUCUGCAGACCUUUUAGGAGCCCCAAAAGGCUCAAAAAGCCCUAAAAAUUUGUACCCCAAAAAGAAAGGGUCCCCUGCCCCAUCCCAUUGUUUUAGUGGGAUACUAACACAAAACAAAAAACAGGGUUCAUUGUUUCGACGUCAUCCAACACUAAAUUUUGAAGUGUUGGCUGUCCUUCUCCCAAAUUCAUAACAAACCCCACCACAACCAUCUGCCUUUUAUCAUCACCACUGUGCACAACUACUUCCCUACAGUUUUGAAAUAUAUCUUUACGGUUUCAAAUCUUUAUGGAAGAGAGUUUCUAUGCAAAUUUUUACAGGUUUAUAUGCAAAUUUUUACAUGCUUAUUUGAUGUGCGUAAUACGUCGACUAUUAUAUACAUAUGUGUGUGCGCGCGCGCCAAUGUUCUCUAGAGUGUACUUACCUGGUGAGCAAGAGGCUGAAUAUUCUGGCUGGCAAAGAGUUCAGACACGUGUCCCCGCGGACGGUAGAGAGCACAGAUAAUGAUUCAAUGCCAUGUCACGCGGUGACUUACCCAACAAUAAAAAUUCAUAUAGUUCUAAUUAAUUAGUUACUGCCUUUAUGCUAAGUUGCUGUUUGUGGCUGCCAUUAGUGACAAAAUUUUGUUGGAGAUUCAAUGGUGCGUGCCACUCGUAUGGCAUGGGCCAAUUGUUUCAUGGCACAUUAUUGCCAUACAAAAUCUACUUUGGACCUUCCUAACAUUUUAAGAACUAAAGUGAUGCUUUUGUGGAAUUUUUAUAUAAAAAAUUUAUCAACAAUGGGUAUAGCAUAAGUCACUUCUAUAUAUUUUUCUAUUAUUCGUACAAACAAUUUAUACAAAAUAAUAUGGUUUACAAAUAUUAAUAGGUAGAAAAAAACCUAUAAUAAUGCCUCAUACUUGAAAUAAUAUACCGUCGCAUGAUGGUCCUAUAAACUUACAAAAGAAUAUAAUUUUUUUUUUUAAAGAAAACAUUCAAUUUAAUUGUAGUAUGGUAUAUUAAGCUUGCUUUUUUUUUUUUUUUUUAUCUAUCAUAUGUCAAUUAUAUCUUGUAAUGCAUGAUAGUGAGUAGGGAUAAAUUCUAUUUUUUAUUUUAAAUUUUUCUGGUAAGAUUUAAUUAGACUUAGUGUCACGUUAACACUUGAUAUAAUAUCACAUUUGUAUUAAAUAUUAAAUUCUUCUGGCGCCUCCUUAUUGGUUGGAGCUGAGCAUGGGAUUGCUGUGUGGAGGAUGACUGGAAAUGCAGAGGUAAUUAAUAGGAAGGCAUAUAUGCCCCCAUGGAGUUAAAUUAGCAGAUUGAACAUAUGGUCCUGGUUGUUUUCCUUAAGAGUGGUUACCCACCAAAUUUCUGUCCCAUGAUGAAUAAAUUUAAUUUUUAAAUUAAGAAUAUUCUCUGAAAAGAUGCUUAGCAGAUUUUCUUUUUGAAAAAAAAAAAAAACACGAAUCAGUGAUCCCUCCUGCAUGCAUCAUCUCAGUGGGAUCUGCUGCAGCACUGACAAGACAAAAAUGUAUAUUCAUGUAGAUUCUAGUGCCCUUUUCUUUUUUUCUCUUAUUUUUUUUGGUUGCUAAAUCAUGUAGAUUCUAGUUCUUAACACAAUUGCAUAUAUCAUGGUAGUAUGGUGCCUGCCUUAGAUCUUUUCUUGUACCAAAACUAAGCCAGACAGAUCAUGGAUCAUGGCUACUGCAUAAUCAUAAUCCAAAUCUUCUGCUUUCACCAUAUGUGUUAUGCUGGAAUGUUAUGUUGUCCGGGCAAAAUGAGAGGGGCGGGGGGCGUGGGCCCCACUCCCUCCCCCCUUGCAUGCCCGCAUGGGUCGGGCAGAGAACAAAUCUGAUGUGUUAUAUAUAUAUAUAUAUAUAAUAGAUAUAUACUGGGAUGGAUCAUGGAUAGCACUUUGCCAUGUUGCAAUCUCUAAUAACUUUGACAUUAACUUAAUGUUGAUUGCUGAUUGAUGCUUAGAGAUGUUUCGUUAAAUCAUGGAAGAUCAGUAACUUUGUGACCAACUUGAAACGCCAGGAUUGAAGGGUCUAUAAUCCCACUAUUUCAAUCUGUUUGAAACUCACUUGUAUCAUACUUAAAUGGGCAUUUCCAUGCGUAAACUGAUAGUCUAUUGUUGUUAUAUAUAGUGGACUUGGUGGAUAUAUAUACAUAAAUACAUAUAGUACAUUUGAUUAUAUUUUUUUCUUUUUCAGCAUAUUUGAUCAUCAUGUGAAAGACAUUUUAAUUUGAACAAUAGAUCGAUGAAUAU